rnacentral:rRNA from 1 species
CCUACGGGGGGCAGCAGUGGGGAAUAUUGGACAAUGGGCGAGAGCCUGAUCCAGCCAUGCCGCGUGUGUGAAGAAGGCCUUCGGGUUGUAAAGCACUUUCAGUGGGGAAGAAAGCCUUGGGGCUAAUACCCUCGAGGAAGGACAUCACCCACAGAAGAAGCACCGGCUAACUCCGUGCCAGCAGCCGCGGUAAUACGGAGGGUGCGAGCGUUAAUCGGAAUUACUGGGCGUAAAGCGCGCGUAGGCGGUCUGAUAAGCCGGUUGUGAAAGCCCCGGGCUCAACCUGGGAACGGCAUCCGGAACUGUCAGGCUAGAGUGCAGGAGAGGAAGGUAGAAUUCCCGGUGUAGCGGUGAAAUGCGUAGAGAUCGGGAGGAAUACCAGUGGCGAAGGCGGCCUUCUGGACUGACACUGACGCUGAGGUGCGAAAGCGUGGGUAGCAAACAGGAUUACAUACCCUAGUAGUC